UAUGCCGUGGGUGUGGCCCUGGAAAAGACAAAAAGACCAAAAAAAAAAAGGAAGAGUAACAAGACGUGGCGAUGGCAUGUGCCCUGACCUGCCUGGAUUCAGAGCCGUGGGCCCAGAGUCUCUUGAGAAAACCGGAGCUGAGGUGUCUUGACCAGUGCGCCUCCCAAGUGCCCCGGGCGUCGAAAGGCGGAAGGAUUCAGAACGUGCUUCUUACACGAGUGCUUCUUACACGAGGGCCGAUGGCCGGGUGUGGCGCGCGCACGUUCCUGGAGAAAUGCUUCCUGUGCGAGUCGGUCGCCGAGGAGAUGGGAGAACCACGAGUCUUGAUGGUGGGUGGGUACACGGGUGCCCCCGGCACAGGGCCUAGGUGCGUUUGUGUCGCUGGCUUGCUGGUGACACCUGUUAGGCGCUGGCCUCGGUGUUCCCUUAGCGGCUCUCGCCGAAUUCCCCUGUGCAGUUAGACACGUGAGCACGCCAGAGUGACUCGAAAAUGCCCUUGAAGUUCACAAGUCUGGGGAAAGAUAAGCCGAUUCUCAUUUUGAAGACAAGCCUUCUGGGGGGAGAGCGUGUGAAGGCUCUCGCGGAGACUGUCGCAGAGGAGCAGCCAAGAGCCCCCUUCGUGAGAGAGACAAAGAUUACCGGGGCCUCUGACUUCGCUCACUCGACGGUCGUGGAGGCCGACGGUGCCUUGUUCACUGGAAGCGCGGUGACCCUCUGACGUGUUGGGCCGGAUGGGGUACGAGGAGGAGUUCUGAGGACCCUGAGGGUUGGGGGGGGUCACGUGGUUGCAGUUGGCUCUUAAAAGGGGGCCCGUGUGUCCUGGGUCCUCACUGCGGGGUAGAGUCCUGGCCGCCACCCCUGCCUGCCAGAGUAGGCCUCAGAACACGUGCCCUUUGGGUUUCUGCCUUGGUCUUGUGUAGGCUGCGAAAAUGUGAGCUCCAGCCCCGAUUUCGUGGGCUCUGCCUUGCCUUUGGCUCUGCCCGUGCCCCUCGGGAGGUGUGUCCCUCGGGAGGUGUGCCCAGCCCGCUUCCUGGGAGGAGAGGGCGGGGAGCGGGAGGGACGCCCCGACCCCUCCUCAUCCCCCCAGUGCCGCCCCCCAGUUCUCACCGUGUUGCUCCAGGGUAAGUGAGAGGACGCCGAGCUCGCGUGUCACCCCCAGAGCGCCCACUGCUCGGAGCCCGUGGGUGUCCUCGAGUUAAAAUGCCAUGGAGACGUGACCUUCUGAAGCCCCUUGCAGAGUGUGUCCCCACAGCAUUGUGAAGUUAAGUCCUCUUGAGUUAAAUUCUCGGUGCGUUCCCGUGUCCCCAGAGCGGAGGGUUGUACAACUUAAGUGCUUUGGAGCGUCUGCCUCCGGGGCGGGCGGGGGGUAAGAUUCGCUUUUUCCCUGUAGGAGCCCUUACGCUGGGGCGGGAGUGGCGGUGCACGAGCGCUGCCCUGGACAGUCCCCCUGCGGUCAGGUGGCUGACAGUUCCCAAGGGCCGAAGGGGAACCUCUCAGGAAAGGCCGGAGCAGGCGAAGGGGUGGGGACGGAUUUCGUUCCAUCGCUGCAGAGGUGCACGGGUGGCUGGAGGGUCUGGAAGCUGCUGCCAUUUCCUCUCCCAGGCUGGGCCUGCGUCGGCGUGGGCAGCGCUGGCGGGUAGCUAAGGGCCCCGGCGGGGAUGGCAGCCUGGCCAGCGGGCGGGGCGGGCCAAGCCGAGUCGGGAAAGCGCAGCCCUGUACCCCUGCGCCGACAGUUCUGGAAUAAAGAUUUACCUUCCGUGCUGCAAAGAGUGCUGCUUCUCGUCUCUAGCGAUUUUUCCUUUUUCGUCAAGGUGCAAAGUCAUCAAGUAACUUGAGGCAGAGCUAAACCUUUCCACAUCAGCUUGGAGGAAGCUGGCUUUCCUUGUCGAUGCCAAUCACGCAUCCCUCGAGGGUGGCGGGGGGCCGGAGCCGGGCCCGACACGGGCAGCCGUUCCCGCUGUGGCCACCAGGUUUAUAGACAAUGCAGUCAUACAGUGUUACGGAGAAGAAAGGAAGCUGCAGGGGUGCACUGAGAUGGGGUCCCCUCCGCGCGUAGCCAUUCACAGAGCAUUCCGUUCGACUUGCCUCGUGAGUUCUCCUGGGAUCAGUCAAGAGCUCAGGCAGGCUGCGUGGCCUCUUCGGACUUGUGUGGAUCCACUGUGAUCUGAAUCAGAUCACUGCUCCUCGUCAGCGGGAGGUGGAGCCGGCAGAGCCAGCCCAGGCUGGAGCAGCUCUCAGGAGGCCGUGGUCACCGCUCUUCAAUAAAAGUUCUUGUUUCUUUCUU